GGCUGGGUAGCUCAGUUGGUUAGAGCGCGGCACUCAUAACGCCGAGGUCGCGGGUUCGAUCCCCGCCCCAGCCA
rnacentral:tRNA from 1 species